UCCUGACUAAUUGUUUCACGUGAAACAUUAGACACUAGCCAAGACAGGAGAACCACAUG
rnacentral:sRNA from 12 species